rnacentral:rRNA from 1 species
AGAAUCAACGCUGGCGGCGUGCCUAACACAUGCAAGUCGCACGAGAAAGGGGAGCAAUCCCCGAGUACAGUGGCGCACGGGUGAGUAACACGUGAAUGAUCUACCUCCGAGUGGGGAAUAACCAAAAGAAAUUUUGGCUAAUACCGCAUAACACUUACGAGUCAAAGCAGCAAUGCGCUUGGAGAGGAGUUCGCGGCAGAUUAGCUAGUUGGCGGGGUAAUGGCCCACCAAGGCGAUGAUCUGUAUCCGGCCUGAGAGGGCGCGACGGACGACGACUGGAACUGAAACACGGUCCAGACUCCUACGGGAGGCAGCAGUGGGGAAUUUUGCGCAAUGGGGGAAACCCUGACGCAGCAACGCCGCGUGGAGGAUGAAGUCCCUUGGGACGUAAACUCCUUUCGAUCGGGACGAUAAUGACGGUACCGAGAGAAGAAGCCCCGGCUAACUUCGUGCCAGCAGCCGC